UCCCAACUUCCCACCUACAACAGUGGCUGCACCAUCCUCAGUAUCAGCUCAGUAUAUCUGUCCUUUUUUUAUUAUUUAAUAAAAUUAGCUCAUGAGUAUUUUUAUGUUAUUUUUAAGUGAUGACAGCAGAUUUUUUCAACCCCUUAUAUAAGCAAACCUGGAACAUCAAAAUCUUGCAUAACAAUAAGACCAUUGAAAGUAGAUUAAGCCACUUCAUUUAUUUUUAAU